UCAUGAGCAAGACUACUCUCAUAUGCCGAAUAAGACUUAUCUUCUAAGGCAAACAUGAGUUCCGGGAAUCUCGGGGAACGACCCCCAGAUAGACGUAAAACUGCGAGAAAGCCGAAAGACCGAGACAUCCUGCCAGUACUGAGCAAGAUGACCUGCGUGCUGAUUGGUUGGUUUACAACGAGCGAAGCUCCGGAGCAAAGAGGCAAACAUGGCCGACAGCACUCACUGAAACAGCCAAGGUGGAAAUACUAUGGAGACAGGUGUUGAACAGCAUAUUUGAGCCUGAAUCAAAGGAAGAAUCUGAAAUAGAGGAGCAACCAGUCGCCAAUAGAUUGGAAAUGACUACUUCAGAGUGCUAAGUUUUGUCAUUUACUUGAGUUUGCCACUCGUAGCCCAGUUAGCUAGCUGUAAUACUCGCACGUUAGUGUCGUAGACUAAGCUAAACAUUGUAUUAGGUUCGUUUUUAGCAUUGUAAGCAACAGAAGUUAUUCAUUUGCACACAAACAAAUGUUUUACAACUUGUACCCUUGUGCAAUUUUUGUCAAGAUGUCCAGUUAGAAACUAGCUGAAAAGUUUGUAGCCCGUCGUGGGCAGUUCAGGCUAUGCUGUAGUGAAAGGAGUGCUGCUUGCAAGGAAAGUACUCGUUUUAGUCAGUAAGUAUAUUUUCCUGGUGAAUAGGUCAUAGGUCAUCUGAUUAGGAGUUACAUACAUUAUUGUAGUGGUAAUAUGCGAUCUUACAACAGGACGUCCAGUUAGCUGGGCAGGAGCUCUGUGCAGUUCGUAGGCUAUAACGUUAUUGCUGAAGUGAAACGAGUAGCCUACUGCUCGCGUCAAUGAAAAUAUUACGUUUGUGUCAGUAGGUCUAAUGUACUCGUUUAACUACUAUCCUGCUGAUUAAGUCAUCUGAUUAUCGAGGUUUUUACGUUCUUUCCAUGUAGUAAUGUAUGAUCUUACAACGGGACGUCCAGUUAGCUGGGCAGGAGCUCUGUGCAGUUUGUAGCCUAUGGCUGAAGUGAAACGAAGUCAAUGAAAAUAUUACUAGGCCAAUUUGUGUCAAUUCAAAAACACUUAUUUAUCCCCAAGGGGAAAUUUACAUAGUAGGCUACUUAAAAUACAGUAGGUACAGUCAGUGUAAUGUAAUCUUGUAACUAUCCUGCUGACAUCUAAUUGAGAUUAUUACCUUCUUUCCCUGUAGUAGCCUAAUAUGUGAUCUUACAACUCUGGUAACUAAAACUGGAGACAUUUGCUACUUUGUGCUACCUGCUCAUUCAAAAUUACGAAAUAACAGCAGGGAAAUUAUGUUUGUUUUUACAGGUUAUUAAAAGAAUGACCCAGGUUCCUGAGGAGCUGACCUGAAUGACCCAUCAUGGCCUCAAUCCGUGCCUCUAUAUUCUUUGCAAAAUGCAAUGAAUAUUUACUGAGCUGACCAUGGCCGUUUGAGAAUCAGAGGAAUGGAAAGGCAAUGAAGUGACUUGGCCUACAGGUCUUUUGUGAGCAGGAGCUGGGGUUUCCUUAGAAGAAGCGUCCGUGUCAUGAUCCCCUUGUGUGUGGUGCUACGCAUAUGGAGGGAACUUCCGGAUACUUCAGGGCAGUACGUUGGAUUCAGACCCCUUUUCGACUGAACCGCGUGACACAUGUUCAGCAACAGCAUCCUCCAUGGAAGGUCUGUCUAGCUGAGCACACAAGUCCUGGGGCACAGGAAUCCGCUGGACGGCAUCCCAAUAAGGAAGAGGGUCUUUGAUGAUCUCGAAGAGGACAAGAAAAAGGACUUAUAUUGGAUACUGUAAUACAGUGCAUUGUAGGCUGUAUACUGUACAAUAAACAAAUUGUAUGGCCCUGAACAUUGUGCUUUGUUUACAGUACUGAUGAUGAUUGACACCAGUAGCAUCAGGUCUAAGACAGCCUGUUGUGUGUGAAUCGAUAAGUUCUUUUUAGUGCCUAUACUGUUGCACAUUUUGAUUUGUUGUUUGUAAUAAAAACAUAUAUUUUUAUUAAACU